rnacentral:rRNA from 1 species
GAACCGAGCGAACGUUGUUCGGAAUCACUGGGCUUAAAGGGCGCGUAGGCGGCUUAUCAAGUCAGGGGUGAAAUUUUGCGGCUUAACCGUAACAGUGCCUUUGAUACUGAUAGGCUCGAGGGAGAUAGGGGUCUGCGGAACUUCUGGUGGAGCGGUGAAAUGCGUUGAUAUCAGAAGGAACGCCGGUGGCGAAAGCGGCAGACUGGAUCUCUUCUGACGCUGAGGCGCGAAAGCCAGGGGAGCAAACGGGAUUAGAUACCCCGGUAGUCCUGGCCCUAAACGAUGGGUACUAGAUUGUAAGCGUGACAUGCGCCUACAGUCGAAGCAAAAGUGUUAAGUACCCCGCCUGGGGAGUAUGGUCGCAAGGCUGAA